GGAAACCGGUGAAAGUCCGGUGCGGUCGCGCCACUGUGAACUGCCCCCGCAGGGGACAGUGAGUCAGGACGC
rnacentral:ncRNA from 2 species